AGCGGGAAAAGCUCAAAUUUGAAAUCUGGUGGUCUUUGGCCACCCGAGUUGUAAUUUAGAGAAGCGUCUUCCGCGCUGGACCGUGCACAAGUCUCCUGGAAUGGAGCGUCAUAGAGGGUGAGAAUCCCGUCUUUGGCACGGACACACCAGGGCUUUUGUGAUGCGCUCUCGAAGAGUCGAGUUGUUUGGGAAUGCAGCUCAAAAUGGGUGGUGAACUCCAUCUAAAGCUAAAUAUUGGCGAGAGACCGAUAGCGAACAAGUACCGUGAGGGAAAGAUGAAAAGCACUUUGGAAAGAGAGUGAAACAGUACGUGAAAUUGUUGAAAGGGAAACGCUUGAAGUCAGUCGCGUUGACCGAGACUCAGCCUUGCCUCGGCUUGGUGUACUUCUCGGCCGACGGGUCAGCAUCAAUUUUGCCCCUUGGAUAAUGGCGAGGGAAAUGUGACACCAUUACGGUGUGUUAUAGUCUCUCGUCGCAUGCAAGGGUCGGGAUUGAGGAACUCAGCACGCGCCUUUGGGUGUCGGGGCUUUGCCCACGAUACGUGCUUAGGAUGUUGGCGUAAUGGCUUUAAACGACCCGUCUUGAAACACGGACCAAGGAGUCUAACAUGCCCGCGAGUGUUCGGGUGGAAAACCCGUGCGCGCAAUGAAAGUGAAAGUUGGGACCUCUGUCGUGGAGGGCACCGACGCCCGGACCAGACCUUCUGUGACGGCUCUGCGGUAGAGCGUGUAUGUUAGGACCCGAAAGAUGGUGAACUAUGCCUGAAUAGGGUGAAGCCAGAGGAAACUCUGGUGGAGGCUCGUAGCGAUUCUGACGUGCAAAUCGAUCGUCAAAUUUGGGUAUAGGGGCGAAAG
rnacentral:rRNA from 1 species